UGAGCAAUCUGCCCUUCUCAUCGGAAUAAGCGUUGGAAACGACGUCUAAUGCCGAAUACGACCUCCUUUCGCAUGAUCGGAGGUGGAAAGCUCCGGCGGAGAAGGAUGAGCUCGCGGCCUAUCAGCUAGUUGGUGUGGGUAAUGGCCCACCAAGGCGACGACGGGUAGCCGGCCUGAGAGGGUGACCGGCGACACUGGGACUGAGACACGGCCCAGACUCCGUACGGGAGCAG
rnacentral:rRNA from 1 species